CUGAAUUAAACUUGAAUAGGUUGUUGCUGGCUUCUGAUCAGAAGCAUGUGCACAUCUAUCUCAAAUUUUCAACCACAUGUGCACUUUGUGUAGACCCUGAAUAAUUUUUCGAGACAUUCGGUUUUUUGGAAUAGCUGUGCACAAGCCAGCCUUUCUUGUUUUUCAGGUCUACAUGUUCUUAUAUACCCCAAAUGAAUGUAUUAGAAUGCUUGAUGAUAGGCAAUUUUAUGCCUGUAACAAUAAUA
rnacentral:misc_RNA from 1 species